rnacentral:rRNA from 1 species
AGUGAACGCUGGCGGUAGGCCUAACACAUGCAAGUCGAACGGCAGCACAGUAAGAGCUUGCUCUUACGGGUGGCGAGUGGCGGACGGGUGAGGAAUACAUCGGAAUCUACUUUUUCGUGGGGGAUAACGUAGGGAAACUUACGCUAAUACCGCAUACGACCUACGGGUGAAAGCAGGGGAUCUUCGGACCUUGCGCGAUUGAAUGAGCCGAUGUCGGAUUAGCUAGUUGGCGGGGUAAAGGCCCACCAAGGCGACGAUCCGUAGCUGGUCUGAGAGGAUGAUCAGCCACACUGGAACUGAGACACGGUCCAGACUCCUACGGGGGGCAGCAGUGGGGAAUAUUGGACAAGGGGCGCAAGCCUGAUCCAGCCAUACCGCGUGGGUGAAGAAGGCCUUCGGGUUGUAAAGCCCUUUUGUUGGGAAAGAAAAGCAGCAGGUUAAUACCCCGCUGUUCUGACGGUACCCAAAGAAUAAGCACCGGCUAACUUCG